AGUGAACGCUGGCGGUAGGCCUAACACAUGCAAGUCGAACGGCAGCACAGUAAGAGCUUGCUCUUACGGGUGGCGAGUGGCGGACGGGUGAGGAAUACAUCGGAAUCUACUUUUUCGUGGGGGAUAACGUAGGGAAACUUACGCUAAUACCGCAUACGACCUACGGGUGAAAGCAGGGGAUCUUCGGACCUUGCGCGAUUGAAUGAGCCGAUGUCGGAUUAGCUAGUUGGCGGGGUAAAGGCCCACCAAGGCGACGAUCCGUAGCUGGUCUGAGAGGAUGAUCAGCCACACUGGAACUGAGACAGGGUCCAGACUCCUACGGGAGGCAGCAGUGGGGAAUAUUGGACAAUGGGCGCAAGCCUGAUCCAGCCAUACCGCGUGGGUGAAGAAGGCCUUCGGGUUGUAAAGCCCUUUUGUUGGGAAAGAAAAGCAGCAGGUUAAUACCCCGCUGUUCUGACGGUACCCAAAGAAUAAGCACCGGCUAACUUCGU
rnacentral:rRNA from 1 species